AUUGAACGCUGGCGGCAUGCCUUACACAUGCAAGUCGAACGGCAGCACGGGAGCAAUUCUGGUGGCGAGUGGCGAACGGGUGAGUAAAGUAUUGGAACGUGCCCAGUCGUGGGGGAUAACGUAGCGAAAGUUACGCUAAUACCGCAUACGAUCUAUGGAUGAAAGCGGGGGAUCGCAAGACCUCGCGCGGUUGGAGCGGCCGAUAUCAGAUCAGGUAGUUGGUGGGGUAAAGGCUCACCAAGCCGACGAUCUGUAGCUGGUCUGCGAGGACGACCAGCCACACUGGGACUGAGACACGGCCCAGACUCCUACGGGAGGCAGCAGUGGGGAAUUUUGGACAAUGGGCGAAAGCCUGAUCCAGCCAUGCCGCGUGCAGGAUGAAGGCCUUCGGGUUGUAAACUGCUUUUGUACGGAACGAAAAGGUUUGGCCUAAUAAGCUGAGCUCAUGACGGUACCGUAAGAAUAAGCACCGGCUAACUACGUGCCAGCAGCCGCCGUA
rnacentral:rRNA from 1 species